rnacentral:rRNA from 1 species
CCUACGGGAGGCAGCAGUAAGGAAUAUUGGACAAUGGGCGCAAGCCUGAUCCAGCCAUGCCGCGUGCAGGAUGAAGGUGCUCUGCAUUGUAAACUGCUUUUGUUUGGGAAUAAACCCUUCUACGUGUAGAGGGCUGAAUGUACCAAAAGAAUAAGGGACGGCUAACUUCGUGCCAGCAGCCGCGGUAAUACGAAGGUCCCAAGCGUUAUCCGGAUUUAUUGGGUUUAAAGGGUGCGUAGGCGGGUUAUUAAGUCAGUGGUGAAAGCCUACAGCUUAACUGUAGAAUUGCCAUUGAUACUGAUGAUCUUGAGUAUGAUUGAGGUGGGCGGAAUGUGUCAUGUAGCGGUGAAAUGCUUAGAUAUGACACAGAACACCGAUUGCGAAGGCAGCUCACUAAGUCAUGACUGACGCUGAUGCACGAAAGCGUGGGGAGCAAACAGGAUUAGAUACCCUGGUAGUCCACGCCCUAAACGAUGAUCACUCGAUGUGUGCGAUACACUGUACGCGUCUGAGCGAAAGCAUUAAGUGAUCCACCGUGGGGAGUACGACCGCAAGGUUGAAACUUCAAAUUGAAUUGACGGG